ensembl:lncRNA A1BG-AS1 A1BG antisense RNA 1
AUCUUCCCUGUCUUGUUCCUGGGCGCAGAGGGCUCCUCCGGCGCCGCCGAGCUGCGCCCGCUGCCUUCACACCCCGGACAUCCGCGCCACACGUGACACCUGCGGAGACAGCCCCCGUAAGGCUCCUGUUCCCGCCCCCUCCCGCCCCAGGGACCCAGACCCCAGGAGGCCUCACCCCACAGCAAGAGAAAGACCACGAGCAUGGACAUGAUGGUCGCGCUCACUCCGGUGCAUGAUGGAUCCUAGAACCUGUUCUAGAAGGAGACGCUGAGUUCUCCCCACUCUACCUGGAGCUGCUGAGGUCAAGUGGAGAGUGCCGGGGCUGAAGCCCAGCGAGCCCCUCCCUGUCACACCACACUGCACAUGUGACACCAAAGGUGGGGUUCACCUCUUUUCAGACUUUCUGCGGUUGCCCUCACAUGGGCUGUCUGGAGGUGCACCCUCACUCUUCCUGAGGACUGUGGUUCCUUCUCCAUCACUGGUUCAUUCUGCAUGGUGUGACCCACCACGGCUCUGGAGUCGGAUUUCCACCCAGGUCAUUCAGCUGAGACCUGCGCUU